rnacentral:lncRNA from 1 species
ACUAAAAUUAUUGUUACUUACCACCUAAGGUUGAAAAAGCAUGCAACGGUUCAAAGUUUCAAAGUAUAAAAAUGCUGCUCCUAAAAUUCCAAAGAAAGAGGAAUGUAUCAGUGAAAUACCAUGUUCAAAAGUUAUGUUAUCAUGUGGAGAUUUUGUAAAAUGUAGUGGUACUCAUGUUGCCUUUAAUGUUGAUU